CUUCCGAUGUAGACCCGUUUUUUUCACCUGCGUACGGGUCUGGUUAGACGCAGGUGCUUUCUC
rnacentral:sRNA from 1 species